CAACUCCUCCCUCUCCCUCGGUCCUCUCUAGGGUUCGCCGCCCGCCGCCGUCCCCCGCCGCCCUCCUCCGCUGUUGCCCCUCCUCUCCAUCUCCUCCCCUCGGGGCGUCACCAUGUUCCCCCGUCCAACAAGAGCCCUUCCCCUGCUACACCGUCGAGCGCAUGACUGGCGCCAAGCCCCUCAUCCUUUCCCUCUCCUCCCCAUCCUCUGGCUCCACGGAGGCCGCGGACGCGGCCGCAGUCAUCGCCGAGAGGUUCUUGCCGGACCUCUUAUACGCGUCGGAGAAGGCGAGGGCGAGGACACACGAUGUGCCCAGGCAAGACGAGGAGGCAAAACUGAGUCUCAUGGCAAGGGUGGGCAAGGUCCUGUUCCAACGGUGAGUCUUCUUCUAUGUGUCCCACCAUUUCCAGUUCUUGGAUCUCUGCUUCGUGUCACAACUCACAUAGCAUUGUGAUUAACGCGCGCCAUCACCCAUCUUUUGUGUUGGUCGAUUGCCCGCCUCCCUGGACACCGUCCGCGACCUCGCAGAGGCAGGGAUAGAAGGAUCCAAGAUCCCAGUCCGUAAAACGUUCCAUAUGAAUCUGCCCAGUGAUUUCUUGGAUGACAUGGAGUGAUUCGCUGUGGAGAGGAUGGGGCUGGAGUUCAUUUCAACAAAAGAGCACUACCAUGUCAAGGUGGUCGACAAGCAGGGAAUGGUUUCCAAGAUGUCUUGCAAAUGCACUGUGCAAGAAGAUGGGAAGCUUGCAAUCGACAAGUGUGAAAUAUCAGGAUUGUGCAUGGUUUUAUUCUUUUACGACUGACAAUGGAGAACCCCGAGACUGUAGAAGGCAUGUCAUUUGAUUCAUGCCGAGAAGCGUACAAACAGUAUAAGCUAUUCGCUUGGGAGAAUGGUUUCGGAAUUCAUCUGGAAAGUCGAGAUGAGGGCAUGCACGUUACCAGUUGAUGCACAAAAUUAUGUGCUGGUGCUAGAAACAAAGAAAAAACAAUGGGGGGGCCUCUCGAGAUUGAAGCCUGUGAAAUUUAUACAAGCGUGAUAUACAAAAAGUUUGAAGAUGAGUUCUACAAAUGAAAGUCCUUGGUUGUGUGUAGAUGCAUCAGUGAAACUGAAUGUGAAAUUGAAUAUGAAGUUAAGUGUGCGCGUCCAGAAUAUUUUCAGGCAUAUGGGAAUGUUGUGCGAACAUUCUGUUGGUUUCAGACAAUUGAAAGCAGUGCUACAGUCCAAAUUUAGCCAAGUCCCCUCUUCUACGCCGGCGUCCUCCUCCGAUCUGUUGCAUCACAGUGGGACGAGUCAUGGCGAUGGUGACGGCGGCCGGCAUGCUGUGGGGCUAGCUGGUGGGGGCGGCAACGCACGACGACCGCUUGUGUUGAGGCGCACGUCCAGUGCUUGCGACAGCCAUGGAUGGUGGCGUACAAGAUCUGCGGUUGGUGCCGAUGUGCAAGAUCAACAUGACCGUUGCCGCCGCGAGAUUCAUUGUCAAGGGGAGGAAGCACAAGAAGCUUUUCUGGAUCUCGGCGAUUUCACCUCUGGUCUCAAUUAUCUUGUCCGUGGCCAUGGUCUACGCCACGAAGGGGACAAGCACGGCGUGAAGAUCAUCCACGAGGUGCAUGACGGCCUGAACUCGGGCUCCGUCAAGCAGAUAUAGCUCAACGGCACCUACACCGCUGAAUUCGCCAAGAUCACCAUCAUCUGCGCAGUUAUUGUGCUCAUGGAAGCCAUUGCUGUUGGACAAUCUUUCGCCACGGUUAGAUGGUACAAGCUCGAUGCCGAACACCGGCCAUACAAGUCACACGGAUCGAUAUGUCCUUCCUCUGCUUCAUCAAUGCGACUUUCAUCAAAGAAAGGAUCAUGGAAUGGGUAAGGGCUGAAGUGGAUACAUCCAAUGAGAAGGUCAGGGAAAGGGUGCAAUCAGUUGUCUUUGACAUGUCAAACGUGGUGAACAUUGACACUUCAGGACUCGUGGGAUCGGAAGAAAUUCACAAGGAUCUAGCAUCCCUGGGCAUACAGUUUCACAGGAACAAGUCAGUGGCAGUAAAAGUUGAAGCUCCUUAGUCAGGUUUGUUCAGGUGAGUACCUUUCCUGAUACAAGAAUUAGCACUGAGAAUGUUUUUAGAGGUAAACUAGCACUGAGAUUUCUGUAUAUUUACAAGCAAUGGGGCAUACAUUAGUUGCUUGUUUGACAUUAAUCGAGUUUAAUGUAUACUCAUAGAUUUGUCGUACACGUACAAAUAUGUAGUCACCUGAAUGAACAUCCUACGCGUAUUGUACAUGACCGGUACGGCGGCCCUGACGGGGAGCGAGAACCACCACUGGAACGCAGCAGUGAGCCCCUUGGUGAAGACCUGCGCGGAGAGCAGGAACGUGUGCGGGGCCGCGGCGGCGAUCCCCGUGGUGUCCCCGGACCGGAGGCCGUCGAGGAUGUAGAGCGCCGGGAGCGCGGCACCGACGAGGAACCCACCCAUGAUGUGCGUGGUGAGGAGGAGGCGCUCGGGGCCGAGGAAGAUGGGCGCAAACGGGUUGGGCUUCCCGGGGCGCUGCGGGAAGGUGAUCGUGGCCAGGUGGAGUAGGUAGGGGAGGAGCAGGCCGAUCGAUCGAACCGUAAGAAAAGAAAUCUAAAUUCUAUUAUAUUUCUGCGGUUAUUUUCAAUUUCGAUGGUGGAAACGAUUUAAGGAUAAGUUGGAGGAAUGCCUCGAAGAUGUUUUAUAAGCUUUAAAAAAAGUGGGUGGUUUGAGGUAGUGCAUCAUUUGCCUUUUAUCUGAACACUUGCAGCCAAAUUUUUUAUCGCACUGUGAGUUGUUUUGUGCACAUGCUGCGUUCUGUGUAGAUAUGGAUGAGAAACUUCCGUGCCUACAACAUUAUUUGUGUCUGACCCUGUCCGAGGAUCCUGUGGCAUGCUCUGAUUUGUUUCAGAGUGUGGAUGUUCCAAUGCUGUGCAUCGUGUGCUUCCGAGGCAGCAGAAGGUUGUACACAUAUGAACGUCUAUGGGUGAAGAUAUCCUACCAUAUCUAGAACCUGUUUGAUAUGCAGAUUAGUCAAGCUUUUGCAGAGCAGUCCUCAUAAGCUGCAAGAUACAUGCAUGGUUUGUAUGGUUCAUUACUCAUAACUAAUCUAUAUGUCAAAACUUGGACAACUAUUUAGCCCUUGAAUUAUCUUAUAAAUUGACAAUGAUGAUGUUUUGAUGCAGUCUGCAAUUUUGGUUUUGUAGCAGCUGCUGUAGAACAGGAUUUUAUCCCAUAUCCAGAGAAGGUUCUUGAAAUGAGGAAAGGCUUUAUUGUGCUCGGCAAGGAUGAUGAUUUUUGUGGAUGAGCUAGGACUAGCAACAGCAGUUGGCGGAACCAGGAUGGAAGUCAUAUUGCCUCCUUUUAUUGAAGCUGCUAUUUCAGGUUUUGGAUUGGAUUAUAGCGAGCUAAUGUAGUACUAAGGGAUAGAGACAACAAGGUCCACCUAGACCAUAAAUCACAUUGUUUGUGACAUCAGCACAUCCAAUUGUAACCGUAGUCCCUCAUUUGUAUGACGUUACAGCCAACAUUUAACACCCACUGUUCGUAAUAUAUACAUGAUAUCCCCUGACCAAAUUCAAAUAUA